UGGGGAAUCUUCCGCAAUGGACGAAAGUCUGACGGAGCAACGCCGCGUGUAUGAUGAAGGUCUUCGGAUUGUAAAGUACUGUCAUUGGGGAAGAACGGUUUUCUUGAAAAGAUUGAGAAGACAUGACGGUACCCAAGGAGGAAGCCCCGGCUAACUACGUGCCAGCAGCCGCGGUAAUACGUAGGGGGCAAGCGUUGUCCGGAAUUAUUGGGCGUAAAGGCGCGUAGGCGGGCCUUUAAGUCCGGUGUGAAAGAUCAGGGCUCAACCCUGAGAGUGCAUCGGAAACUGGAGGCCUUGAGGACAGGAGAGGAAAGUGGAAUUCCACNUGUAGCGGUGAAAUGCGUAGAUAUGUGGAGGAACACCAGUGGCGAAGGCGACUUUCUGGACUGUAACUGACGCUGAGGCGCGAAAGCGUGGGGAGCAAACAGGAUUAGAUACCCUGGUAGUCCACGCCGUAAACGAUGAGUGCUAGGUGUAGAGGGUAUCGACCCCUUCUGUGCCGCAGUUAACACAAUAAGCACUCCGCCUGGGGAGUACGGCCGCAAGG
rnacentral:rRNA from 1 species